GCCCGGGUGGCGAAAUCGGCAGACGCAGAGGACUUAAAAUCCUCUGUCCUUCGGGACGUGUGGGUUCGAGUCCCACCCCGGGCACCA
rnacentral:tRNA from 1 species